rnacentral:rRNA from 6 species
UUUACUGAGAGUUUGAUCCUGGCUCAGGAUUAACGCUGGCGGCAUGUCUAAGGCAUGCAAGUCGAACGAAUUGUUUUUCUUCGGAAGUUCAGUUAGUGGCAAACGGGAGCGUAACACAUUGGUAACUCACCCCGAGCUCGUGAACAACUUAUGGAAACGUAAGCUAAUACACGAUAUUAUCCCUACAGAUAUGUAGGGAUGAAAGUUACGGCGGCACGGGAGAGGCCUAUGCACUAUCAGCUAGUUGGAGAGGUAACGGCUCACCAAGGCUAUGACGGUUACCGGGCGCGAGAGCGUGGCCCGGCUCACUGGGACUGAGACACUGCCCAGACACCUACGGGUGGCUGCAGUCAAGAAUCUUCCUCAAUGGACGCAAGUCUGAAGGAGCAAUGCCGCGUGCAGGAUGAAGGCCUUCGGGUCGUAAACUGCUUUUAUUUGGGACGAACAAAUGACGGUACCAAAUGAAUAAGGGGUUGCUAACUCUGUGCCAGCAGCAGCGGUAAUACAGAGACCCCAAGCGUUAUCCGGAUUUAUUGGGCGUAAAGCGUCUGUAGGCUGUUUUGUGUGUCGUGCGUCAAAUCUUCGGGCUCAACCCGGAGGCUGCGUGCGAAACUGCAAGACUUGAGAGUGGGAGAGGUAUAUGGAAUUACUGGUGUAGCGGUAAAAUGCGUUAAUAUCAGUAAGAACACCAAAGGCGAAGGCAAUAUACUGGAACAUUUCUGACGCUCAGAGACGAAAGCGUGGGUAGCGAAUGGGAUUAGAUACCCCAGUAGUCCACGCCGUAAACGAUGAAUGCUAGGUAUUGGGAGUAUCGACCCUCUCAGUGCCGACGAAACUAGUUAACACAUUAAGCAUUCCGCCUGGGGAGUACGGUCGCAAGACUAAAACUCAAAGGAAUAGACGGGGACCCGCACAAGCGGUGGAGCGUGCGGUUUAAUUCGAUGGUAAGCGAGAAACCUUACCUGGGCUUGAAAAACAGCUGCAAGCCACCCGAAAGGGAGGCCGCUUUCGAAGGUGCUGUUUAGGUGCUGCAUGGUUGUCGUCAGCUCGUGGUGUGAACUGUUCCCUUAAGUGGGGUAACGAGCGCAACCCUUAUCAUGUGUUAUAUUUGUCACAUGAGACUGCCCGGGCAACCGGGAGGAAGGUGAGGAUGACGUCAAAUCAGCAUGGCCCUUACGUCCAGGGCUACACGCGCGCUACAAUGGUAGGAACAAUGGGUUGCCAAGUCGUAAGACGGAGCUAAUCCCGCAAAACCUACCUCAAUACAGAUUGAGGUCUGCAACUCGACCUCAUGAAGACGGAAUCGCUAGUAACGGCCAAUCAUCAGGUGGCCGUGAAUACGUUCUCGGGUCUUGUACUCACCGCCCGUCACGUCAAGAGAGUCGGUAACACCCGAACGCCGCCGUAGGGCGUCGGAAGGUGGGAUCGAUAAUAGGGACGAAGUCGUAACAAGGCACCCGUAGCGGAAGCUGUGGGUGGAUCACCUCCUUUCUA